rnacentral:rRNA from 1 species
GCUGAAGCAACAAAUGCCCUGCUUCCAGGAAAAGCCUCUAAGCAUCAGGUAACAUCAAAUCGUACCCCAAACCGACACAGGUGGUCAGGUAGAGAAUACCAAGGCGCUUGAGAGAACUCGGGUGAAGGAACUAGGCAAAAUGGUGCCGUAACUUCGGGAGAAGGCACGCUGAUAUGUAGGUGAAGUCCCUCGCGGAUGGAGCUGAAAUCAGUCGAAGAUACCAGCUGGCUGCAACUGUUUAUUAAAAACACAGCACUGUGCAAACACGAAAGUGGACGUAUACGGUGUGACGCCUGCCCGGUGCCGGAAGGUUAAUUGAUGGGGUCAGCGCAAGCGAAGCUCUUGAUCGAAGCCCCGGUAAACGGCGGCCGUAACUAUAACGGUCCUAAGGUAGCGAAAUUCCUUGUCGGGUAAGUUCCGACCUGCACGAAUGGCGUAAUGAUGGCCAGGCUGUCUCCACCCGAGACUCAGUGAAAUUGAACUCGCUGUGAAGAUGCAGUGUACCCGCGGCAAGACGGAAAGACCCCGUGAACCUUUACUAUAGCUUGACACUGAACAUUGAGCCUUGAUGUGUAGGAUAGGUGGGAGGCUUUGAAGUGUGGACGCCAGUCUGCAUGGAGCCGACCUUGAAAUACCACCCUUUAAUGUUUGAUGUUCUAACGUGGACCCGUGAUCCGGGUUGCGGACAGUGUCUGGUGGGUAGUUUGACUGGGGCGGUCUCCUCCUAAAGAGUAACGGAGGAGCACGAAGGUUGGCUAAUCCUGGUCGGACAUCAGGAGGUUAGUGCAAUGGCAUAAGCCAGCUUGACUGCGAGCGUGACGGCGCGAGCAGGUGCGAAAGCAGGUCAUAGUGAUCCGGUGGUUCUGAAUGGAAGGGCCAUCGCUCAACGGAUAAAAGGUACUCCGGGGAUAACAGGCUGAUACCGCCCAAGAGUUCAUAUCGACGGCGGUGUUUGGCACCUCGAUGUCGGCUCAUCACAUCCUGGGGCUGAAGUAGGUCCCAAGGGUAUGGCUGUUCGCCAUUUAAAGUGGUACGCGAGCUGGGUUUAGAACGUCGUGAGACAGUUCGGUCCCUAUCUGCCGUGGGCGCUGGAGAACUGAGGGGGGCUGCUCCUAGUACGAGAGGACCGGAGUGGACGCAUCACUGGUGUUCGGGUUGUCAUGCCAAUGGCACUGCCCGGUAGCUAAAUGCGGAAGAGAUAAGUGCUGAAAGCAUCUAAGCACGAAACUUGCCCCGAGAUGAGUUCUCCCUGACCCUUUAAGGGUCCUGAAGGAACGUUGAAGACGACGACGUUGAUAGGCCGGGUGUGUAAGCGCAGCGAUGCGUUGAGCUAACCGGUACUAAUGAACCGUGAGGCUUAACCUUACAACGCCGAAGGUGUUU